rnacentral:tRNA from 1 species
GUGGGCAUAGUUUAGUGGUAAAACAACAGCUUCCCAAGCUGUGGUCGUCGGUUCAAUCCCGAUUGCCCACUCCA